GACGAACGCUGGCGGCGUGCUUAACACAUGCAAGUCGAACGGUGAAGGGGAGCUUGCUCCCCGGAUCAGUGGCGAACGGGUGAGUAACACGUGGGCAACCUGCCCCAGACUUCGGGAUAACGCUUCGAAAGAGGUGCUAAUACCGGAUACGAACUCCUUGGGCAUCCCGGGAGUUGGAAAGUUUUUCGGUCUGGGAUGGGCCCGCGGCCUAUCAGCUAGUUGGUGAGGUAACGGCUCACCAAGGCGACGACGGGUAGCCGGCCUGAGAGGGCGACCGGCCACACUGGGACUGAGACACGGCCCAGACUCCUACGGGAGGCAGCAGUGGGGAAUAUUGCGCAAUGGGCGAAAGCCUGACGCAGCAACGCCGCGUGAGGGAUGACGGCCUUCGUGUUGUAAACCUCUUUCAGCAGGGAAGAAGCGAAAGUGACGGUACCUGCAGAAGAAGCACCGGCUAACUACGUGCCAGCAGCCGCAGUAA
rnacentral:rRNA from 1 species